AUGAAUGUUUACUGCAACAACAAACAAAACAUUUCAUCUUUUACUUUAUUCCUUAGAUUGAAUUUAGUCUAUACAGAACAAUAAUAUCCUAGAUGAAGGCUUGGAUAUAUAUAAAAUGUUAAAGAAACUUGAAAAAGUGCUGUCUCCAGAUGAAUAUGAAGUUUUACGUUUAUCCAAUAUACCAAGUCUAGAUUUUAUUAUAAAUACUCCAAUCAGAGAUCUACACGCCCUAACUAAUUUACCAUACAAGAACUUAGAGGACAUCAUAAAGAAAACAUCAGCUGUAAUAGGUCCAAAAUUUGUAACAGCUUUUGACUUACCUGAGUGGGAAAAACUUUCUACAGGUUGUAAGGCCAUUGAUUUUAUUACAAAAGGAGGAAUACCAUUCAAUGGCAUUAAUGAAAUAGUAGGGUGUUCUGGCGUUGGCAAAACACAACUUUGUUUACAAUUAUCAAUAAUGUGUCAACUUCCUCUGCAUUUAAAUGGCAAACAAAGAGGUGUUGUGUAUAUAAACACAGAAAAACCUUUUCCUUCAUUUAGAUUUAAUGAACUUGUUGAAUGCUAUAAGGAGAAAUAUAAUAUUGAUAUUGAUUUACAAAAAAAUGUUUUCCUACAACACAUUUCCAAUUACAGUCAAAUAAAGAAAACCUUACAUGUUUUGCUGCCCAAUUUUUUAACAUAUAAUGAUGUGGGUUUGAUUAUUAUUGAUUCAAUAGCUGGAAUCUUCAGGACAGAAGAAGAGGAUGUUGUUUACACUAACCGAACCCAACAAUUCAUAGACAUUGUAACUAAAUUAAAUCAACUAUCAAAAUCUUUUAACAUUUGUAUUGUUUGUGUUAAUCAUGUAACAGACAAUUUAAAUACCUCAGAAACUGUCCCUGGUUUAGGUUUAUCAUGGACCAACUUAGUAAAUUGCAGAUUUAACUUAACACGAUUUGAGGGUACUUAUAUAAGGCAAUUUGAAAUAAUUUUUAGUCCACAUUUGGAAAACAAUUCAUGCAAUUUUAUUAUUGAAGCCGAAGGAAUUUGUUGCACAGAUAUUUAAAUCAUCCGUAAAAUUCUUACAGUUGGUAACAAUGUUCGUCAAAUUAAAUGUCAUUUAGUUCAAAAUCUCACAUUGUAAAUAAAUGCGACCUAAUCCUUUGAAGAUGAACGGGAUUAUAUUAGCAGGACUGGGUUUGGCUGCUGUUGGUUUUGCAGGCCGAUAUGCAGUCAGACAACUGCCCAAUGUUACAAAAACGGUGAAUGAAGCAAUGAAAAAUCUACCAAAAUUUGAUGCUGAAUCUAUGGC